GGCAUGGCGGCACAGUGGUUAGUGCUGCUGCCCCACAAUAUGUAGGUUCUAGGUUCAAGCCCAGGCCAGCCA